AUGGGGCAGGCCGCCGGACCCUCGAAGGAUUGUGCGUGACUUCGGGCAGCCUCCUUUGGGAGGCCGUUUCCAUUCUCUUUUCACCUCGGUCCCCACCCGGGGACUCUGGGCCUCAGUUUUCUUAUCUGGAAAGAAGGGCGUGGAGUCGUCUCCCCGCCCACACUCCGCGGUGUUAGGGCAAACCGAGGGCGAGCUGCCCAGCAAAGGUGAGAGAGGAUGGAGACCUUCGGCUUGAGAGUGGAAGGGGCGCAUUCUGAACUUUAUCUCUUUGUUUUUGCCUCUAUCUUGUCAUAGAGGAGCGCUUUGUUUUUGGUCAUUUUCCUUGGGCCAUCAAGGCCUUCUCAUCCCGGAUUCUGGCCUCCUUCACGCCAUCCCCCGUACCGCAGCGUCUCCCACAGCGUAGCCAGAGGGCGCUUCUGCUUAAAACCCUUCACCAGUCUUCCCAUUGCCUCCGGAAUUAAACCCACAUUCCUCAGUGUCAAUCUAAAGGCCCUUCAAGAUCUGGACUCCACCUUCUUGCAACACUCUGAACUUCUUUGGAAGCUGGGAAGCCUUAAGCACUUGUUCUCUCCCGUGGGUGCCUCCACCCUGCACUCAGCUAAUGCCUCACACUCUUCAAGCCCCAGCCUAGACGCUGCCUCCUCAGUGAAGCCUUCCCAGAUGCCCGGCUCCAUAUGAGGUGUUGACCUGGCAUGCAGUCCCUGUGGCUCCUGUGUGGCCCCAUUUCUGCCCUCUGAAGCAGCAGAGUCCACGCACCAGAUGUUACAGAACCUCCCUACCUUGGCUGCCCAUCUCUGCAAAUAUGUGACCAGACUAGAGUGGUCAACCCCAGUGGCCCACUGUGGCAGCUCCUGGUCUCCCAGUGUUCCGG